AGAGAGAGGAGACAGAAACAGAGAGCUUCCAGCAGAUACAAGGUGUGUGUGUGUGUGUGUGUGUGUGUGUGUGUGUGUGUGUGUGUGUGUGUGUGUGUGUUGUGUAAGAGUUUAAAUGUAUAUUAAUGUAAUAUUCACUAACUAUCUGAACUCAUCUUCAUGCUGAUUGUUCUGUUCCAGGUGAACUAUGUCUCUGAGUUUGUCAACAAUACAAAUGAAGUUAUGAGACAAAUGGAACAAAAGUGGAGACGUGUUGUUCAUUUGAAUAGUUUUAAUGUUUGACAAUAAUCUAUUUUCCUUUAAUAUUCUUUCUACUGAUAAAUGAAUCUUUAAAAGUGAACAUGCAGCUGCCACUGACAGAUAAAUGUUCAGCUGCACCAACAACACUUUCUUUGUUGUUGUCAGUGAUCUGAACAUAUGAAUGAAGAUGUUGCUGGUGAAUAAAGACAGAGACUCUGCAGGAUGUUAACUCA